rnacentral:siRNA from 1 species
CGUGAUACAAUUUCAUGGGCA